UGGUGCAUGGCCGUCGCCAGCUCGUGCCGUGAGAUGUCCUUGUUAAGUCAGGUAACGAGCGAGAUCCNUGCCUCUAGUUGCCACCAUUACUCUCAGGAGUAGUGGGGCGAAUUAGCGGGACCGCCGCAGUUAAUGCGGAGGAAGGAAGGGGCCACGGCAGGUCAGUAUGCCCCGAAACUCUGGGGCCACACGCGGGCUGCAAUGGUAGCGACAAUUGGUUUCGAAUCCGAAAGGAUGAGGUAAUCCACAAACGCUACCACAGUUAUGACUGAGGGCUGCAACUCGCCCUCACGAAUAUGGAAUCCCUAGUAACUGCGUGUCAUUAUCGCGCGGUGAAUACGUCCCUGCUCCUUGCACACACCGCCCGUCGUUUCAUUGAAGUGAGCUUUUAGCGAGGUGACGU
rnacentral:rRNA from 1 species